UUGCAGAGUGAGGCGAGGGAGGAAACAGAUUGAGCUUGCCGGCGCUUUGAGGAGAACUGCACUGCAAAAUUCAAAGAAAUGGGACUUUUGAAGGAUGGCUGUUUGAAGGAUGGCGUAGCAUUUCAGAAAGCGAAAAUUGGUUGCUCAGCAAACAACUUGUCAGGAGAGUAGGAGGUCAAGAGUACUGGAUGUCAAGGAGAGGUGAGCAAUUACAUGCAAAGAAUGUCUGACAAGCAGCAAUGGCUGUAUUCAUCCAUCUGGGGCACCCAUCUUAUUUAUUAUCAACUAUACCUCUGAACUAUGACUUGAUGUAGUUUUGUUCCCACUUAGGCAUAGGAACAAAGGAUGCAACAUUAUAUUGAAUCAGGCCAUAGGUGCAUCUAGCCUGCACAGACUGGAAGUAAGUCUCCAGGGUUUGAGACUGGGUUCUCUCCUGCAAGGAGAUGGUGGGGAUUGAACCCGGGACCUUCUGCAUGCAAAUCAAAUGUUCCAGAAUUCAGCAAUGGCUUUCCCCCCUGGACUGAAAGUUCUGCACAGGUGGGUUGCCUCCGAUGCAGUGGGACUGAACCUGGGAGUUAUUUCCCCACUUUGCCAUAUGGUGGAAAGAUUGCCAGUGUACUCAAUGUGAAACGGAGCCGCUGUGUAUGAUUCAUAAGGGGUCUUGUACUUCUGUCUUGUUGUACCUGCAUUGCAGAGGGUUGGACUUAAUGGCUCUCAGAAUCCCUUCCAAUUCCAGUUCUGUGAUUCUAUGAAGACAGAGCCUCAUCUCUUCUUCAGGAUCUGCCCUUCAGGAUCUGCCCUUCUCAACACUCUGUAUGACAGAAGCAGCAGCUGAGCUGUUGACUGCCAUCUCUUCAGAUGGUGGCAAACUUUGGUUUAAAAGGAAGACAUGGAAACCAUCUGAUGAAUUAUUAUGGCAAGUCCUAGAAAGUGCACUGAAUUCACCUCCCUUUCAUAAUACUCUCAUUAUGGAGUAGGAGGCCUUUGAAGAAGAGGACUCUGAAGGGAAGGAAGGGGGAAUGAGACAAUGAAACAGAACCCUUCUGAUGACUCCCCACCACUACUUCCAGACCUGCCCAAAACUACUGAGGAUGUGGGCAUCCCAGAGAUUGCAUCUUCCUUGUCUGCAUGAAGAGAGGAUGCCAUUAGGGACUGUAGUGGCCAUUUCCCCAUUGGAGGAAGAGGAGGUGAGUCUGGUAUCAUGAGAAAAGAGGAGACUCAUCUCCUUAGGUAGCCAGAAAUUCCAACAGAGACAGGGACACGGAGAAGCGGACACGGAGCAAUGGAUUCAAACUGCAAGAAAGAAGAUUCCACCUAAACAUUAGGAAGAAGCUGUUCGGCAGUGGAAUUUGCUACCAAGGAGUGUGGUGGAGUCUCCUUCUUUGGAGGUCUUUAAGCAGAGGCUUGACAGGCAUAUGCCAAGAAUGCUUUGAUGGUGUUUCCUGCUUGGCAGGGGGUUGGACUGGAUGGCCCUUGUGAUCUCUUCCAAUUCAAUGAUUCUAUGAUUCUAUGGAUUCUUGUGAGUAGCUGUGCCAUCUCUUCCUCUGUUUAAAACAAACACACACACACACUUGCAGUGCAUGGUGGCAGUCCAAGUAUCACUUACAUUUAAGAACAUUCUCAGAGCCAUGUGCAUUCCUCUGCAGGACUCAAAGACGAUCUUUGUUUAAUAGGUUUGGAUUCCAUUGCUGAGGAGCAUGGCAGAGUGGGAAUCUAUGUAGCGCAGGCCUGGGGAACCUGUGGCUGUCCAAAUGCUGUUAGACUCCAACUCCCAUCAUCCCUGAUCUUUGGCUAUGCUGGCUGGGACUAAUGGGAGUUGUCUGGCUGGCCACAAUUCCCCUAGCCGUGAUGUACUGCCAUGUGGAAAGCACUUUGCAUGAUGAGAUAUUUUCUCACUCUCUCCAGUUGCAUCUUGAUGAGGGCAACAACAACAAAAUACAACAUAGCCGCCAGAUUUUAUGCCAGAUUUUAAUAAAAUAACCUGCUCAGGAAAACACAGGUGCUCCCUGGCUGUGAGGAGCUGAUGAGGGAAACAGCCACAAAGACCCAGGCUUCUCGUUUUGAAAAUAAAACACAGGAGGCGGUGAAAAACGGCCAGAAUUUUCUUCUCCCCCAGCUGAUACAUAUCUUAUUUAUUCUCCCUUGUAAUGUGUGAAUGCUGCGCUGUGCCCUAUUUUGUCUUCUGCCUCAAUUAAAAUGUAAAUUUCUGCAGCCCAUCUCUAUAAUUCCAAACAGCUUCGGGGAUGGGAAUUUAAACUGCUUUUAAUAAAACCAACUACAGAUGCUGCAAUAAGAUCCCUUUCAGGGUGUUUGAAAUCUAUAUAUUUUUUUAAUGCCAGCCCACAUGAGACUUGGCAAUGCUGCAGCUGGGAAUAUUUCCAUAAAAGUGAAAUGAGGAGUCAUGAUAAGCCCUGGUGCAUUCCCAGGCAGGCAUACGCAUUCCUGCUUCAACAAUCAUUUCUGGCCAAGGAUGUUUCCCGGUGAAAUAAGCACAUUUCAGCAUUGGCUGAUGGAGCCCUCAAAGGCCACAUUUGACA